rnacentral:rRNA from 1 species
UACGGGGGGAGCAAGCGUUGUUCGGAUUUACUGGGCGUAAAGGGCGCGUAGGCGGCCACCGCAAGUCAGUUGUGAAAGCUCUGGGCUUAACCCAGAAAGGUCAGCUGAUACUGCGGGGCUAGAGUGCAGAAGGGGCAACUGGAAUUCUCGGUGUAGCGGUGAAAUGCGUAGAUAUCGAGAGGAACACCUGCGGCGAAGGCGGGUUGCUGGGCUGACACUGACGCUGAUGUGCGAAAGCUAGGGGAGCGAACGGG